rnacentral:rRNA from 1 species
UCCUACGGGAGGCAGCAGUGAGGAAUCUUGCGCAAUGGGCGAAAGCCUGACGCAGCCACGCCGCGUGCCGGAUGAAGGCCCUAUGGGUUGUAAACGGCUUUUAAGCAGGAAGAACGACCGGAUUUCGAUCUGGUGUGAUGGUACUGCUUGAAUAAGCACCGGCUAACUCCGUGCCAGCAGCCGCGGUAAUACGGAGGGUGCAAGCGUUGUCCGGAAUCAUUGGGUGUAAAGGGUGCGUAGGCGGGCGUCUAAGUCUGGGGUGAAAUCUUGCCGCUUAACGGUAAAAUGGCCUUGGAUACUGGGCGUCUUGAGUGUAGAAGAGGUAAGUGGAAUUCGUAGUGUAGCGGUGAAAUGCAUAGAUAUUACGAAGAACAUCAGUGGCGAAGGCGGCUUACUGGUCUACAACUGACGCUGAGGCACGAAAGCGUGGGGAGCGAACAGGAUUAGAUACCCUGGUAGUCCACGCUGUAAACGAUGCAUACUAGGUGUUGGCCUUUCGGGGCCAGUGCUGCAGUUAACGCAUUAAGUAUGCCACCUGGGGAGUACGUCGGCAACGAUGAAACUCAAAUGAAUUGACGG